UUGGGCUCCGGAUUCCUGGAGCGGUUCUCCCGACACCGGAGCCAAACGGGAGCAGUCCGGAAGGGCGGGUCUGUAAUCACUGUGGUGCUAAGGAGCACCUUGCUUACCUACCUCCUGGCUGGAGUUCAGGGGUCCUCACUCCUGAGCCCUGAUUUUACAGAAGCUACGUUUGGAAGUGAGGCGUUCUUGGAGCUGAGGGGAAGUGAACCUGGGUUCCUCACCGUGGCCAAGUCGCUUUCUUUCUUUGGGUCCCAGUGAUUUUGAUCUGUCAGAGAAGCGUUUAGGACUUGAACCCGAAGUCUGAUUCUCAGGAUUCCUAAAUCCCCCACCAUUCAUCUGGAAGCAGGAACAACAAAUUGACUUUCUAUCCCUUCAUCUGCUUGUAGUUCUAAAUUAUAAAAGUUAUAUUAUAAGAGCUUGGAAUAGAGCCUUUUCCUAAGAUUAAGAGCUGAAUGGAAACUUACCCAUUUCCUACCCCAGGGCCUGAUGCAGCCAGGGAGAAUCCUUUUUGUCAAGGGACCGAGGAAAGUAUUAGGUUGGGGAGUAUAUUUCUUAGAUCACAGUUGACAAAACUUGUAACUUCCAGGCCAAAUCUGGCACACCUGCAUUUUUUUUUUUGGAUUAAAAAAAAUGUUUAUUUAUUUUGAGAGAGAGAGAGAGUCCCAGGCAGACUCUGUGCUGUCAGCGCAGAGCUGGACGUGGAGCCCGAGCUCACGCAACUGUGAGAUCAUGACCUGAGCUGAAAUCAAGAGUCAGGACGCUUAACCAACUGAGCCACUCCGGCGCUCCAAGGUUUUUCCAUUUUUAGAUAACUAACAGAAACGAAAAGGAUAAUAUUUGUGAUACGUAAAGACAACAUGAACCUGAAAUUUGCCCGCAAAUAAAGUUUUUGGGGGAACGUAGCCGUGUUGAUUUGUGAAGGUAUCUGUGCCUGCUUUUGCACUACAUCAGAAGAGUCGAUGGCAUAGUUGUGACAGAGACUGUCUGGCCUACAAAGCCUAAGGUAUUUACCAUUCUGGGCCUUUGUAGAAGCGUAUGGGGAUUUCUGCUUUGGAAUGGGCAGAAUCAGAGACCAAACAAUGGUGAGCACACCCUGAAAUCAUAGCACAAACCUACUUUCUUGGAAUAAAUGAAAGACUGUUCUCAGCGUUUGGGUUGCAGUUUUCACUGUAUUCUUUUUUUCUCUGUUUUUGCACACUCGGGCAGAGGAAGGACUCUUCUGUGUACUGUGAGCAGUGUAAUAUUGCGGCCCUCGUUCAGGAAAGUGUCCCCGUUGAAUAUUCUAAGUCUGUCCCAGGGCAGUAAUCCAGGAGGGUGGAGACAGUCUCUUUUGGAUUAUAUUUACUUUUGUUUUUUUCUCCUCCAAAGGAAAAGAAAGUCAUGAGAGAUACUGUCUGAUGGAUGGAGCCUGCUGACCAAGUGCUUCAUGCUGACUUCACUGGGGGGUGACUGAACAUCUGGUGACCCGAAACUUCCUCUGCUCUUACGGGGACUAAGGGGACGCCUCUGAGGCUGGGCAGCAAAUCUCUGAGCUCAGGAGUUGAGUCAGGAAGCUUCUAGGAAGACAUUAUUUUCUCCUUCUAGCCUUAUGGAAGCUUGGUUUUCCCCCAGCCCUCGGAUCUAACUUUCUCUGUGGUGACUGCUAACUUGGAUCACAUUGUGAGAGCUCAGUGUGUUUUUCUGAUUAGGUGGACACCUGUCAUGGAGAGAACUGGCGUGACAUGCUGUUGGGGCCACUGAGAGGCCUGGGCAGCCACGGGGACCACGAGCUUCAGGCUUUAGUUGGUAGCUAGGAUGAACUGCUGUGACAACAUUGAGAAAAGCAGAAUAUUUAGCUCUCACAGCGUCCUUAACGGACAUUUUCUCACUUGACCUUUUUUUUAAAAAAAACCUUUUUUUUUUUUUAAUGUUUAUUUAUUUUUGAGAGAGAAGGCAUAAGCAGGGGAGGGGCAGAGAGAGAGGGAGACCCAGAAUCCGAAACAGGCUCCAGGCUCCGUGCUCUCAGCACAGAGCCUGACACAGGGCUCGAACUCACAAACUGUGAGAUCAUGACCUGAGCCGAAGUUGGACGCUUAACCAACUGAGCCACCCGGGCACCCCUCACUUGACCUUCUGACAACCUAUGGUCAAGGUAAAAAAACAGGGGACUUGAAGCCAAACGGACAAGGAUUUGAAACUUCCUACCCCUUUACUGGGUCCUAAUGCUUGUAUUUAAUCUUUCUUUUUUUUUUUUUUUAAGUUUUUUUUUUUUUUUAAGUUUUAUUUAUUUAUUUUGAGAGAGACUAAGACAGCACAAGCAGGGGAGGGGCAGAGAGACUGGGUGAAUCCCAAGCAGGCUCCACACUUCGGCACAGGGCCCCACGUGGGGCCUGAACUCACGAAACCGUGAGAUCAUGACCUGAGCCGAAAUCGAGUCAGAUGCCUAACUGACCGAACCACUCAGGUGCCCCAAAUCUUUCUGACCCUUGGUUUCCUCCUCUGUAAAGUGGGGUUGAGGACCUCUCACAGGGUUGUCAAGAGGAGCAAAUGGGAUCCUGUGUUCACGGGUUCUACUCAGUAAGUUCUAUUCCUGUUACUGUGCCUUUUUUCAGAUGAGAAGACUGAGUCCUACACAUGCCAAGUGAUUUCCUCCAGAUGCCUCAUUUCAUAAGGAACGGAGCCUAGGCCCGCACUCUG
rnacentral:lncRNA from 1 species